rnacentral:rRNA from 1 species
GACGAACGCUGGCGGCGUGCCUAAUACAUGCAAGUAGAACGCACAGUUUAUACCGUAGCUUGCUACACCAUAGACUGUGAGUUGCGAACGGGUGAGUAACGCGUAGGUAACCUGCCUGGUAGCGGGUGAUAACUAUUGGAAACGAUAGCUAAUACCGCAUAAUAUUGAUUAUUGCAUGAUAAUUGAUUGAAAGAUGCUAUUGCAUCACUACCAUAUGGACCUGCGUUGUAUUAGCUAGUAGGUGAGGUAACGGCUCACCUAGGCGACGAUACAUAGCCGACCUGAGAGGGUGAUCGGCCACACUGGGACUGAGACACGGCCCAGACUCCUACGGGAGGCAGCAGUAGGGAAUCUUCGGCAAUGGACGAAAGUCUGACCGAGCAACGCCGCGUGAGUGAAGAAGGUUUUCGGAUCGUAAAGCUCUGUUGUAAGAGAAGAACGGGUGUGAGAGUGGAAAGUUCACACUGUGACGGUAUCUUACCAGAAAGGGACGGCUAACUACGUG